CCUACGGGUGGCAGCAGUGAGGGAUAUUGCACAAUGGUGGGAACCCUGAAGCAGCGACGCCGCGUGAGGGAAGAAGUAUUUCGGUAUGGUAAGCUCUAUCAGCAGGGAAGAAAAUGACAGUACCUGACCAAGAAGCACCGUAUAACUACGUGCCAGCAGCCGCGGUACUACGUAGGGAGCAAGCGUUAUCCGGAUUUACUGGGUGUAAAGGGAGCGUAGACGGUUAUGUAAGUCUGGAGUGAAAGCCCGGGGGCCAACCCCGGGACUGCUGUGGAAACUGUGUAACUGGAGUACAGGAGGGGCAGGCGGAAUGCGUGGUGUAGCGGUGAAAUGCGUAGAUAUCAGGAGGAACACCGGUGGCGAAGGCGGCAUGCCGGACUGAAACUGACGUUGAGGCUCGAAAGCGUGGGGAGCAAACAGGAUUAGAUACCCUAGUAGUC
rnacentral:rRNA from 1 species